UGGAGCUGGGGACCGAACCCAGGGCCUUGCGCUUCCUAGGUAAGCACUCUACCACUGAGCUAAAUCCCCAGCCCCCACAGUACUGGUUUUUGAGGGCCUGAUUUUGCUUUAUCUUUUGAGUCAGGGUCAUAUGUAGCCUAGGCUGGCCUAGAACUUUUGCUAAAAAUGAUACUGACCUCCAGUCAUUCUGUUUCCUCCCGUGCUUGAAUGACAGUGUGUGCCACCAUGCUUGGCUGCGUGUGUUUCUGUCUGUCUGUAGGUUGGUUGGUUGUUCAGUUGGUUGUUUUAAUGGAGCCCUGGCUAACCUGGAACUCAGGAUAUGGCCAGGUUGACCUUGAACUAAUGGCAGUCCUUCUGCCUUUGUCCAUGAGUGCUAGGAUUAUGGGCUUGAGCCACCACUCCCAGCUGUUCUGAAAUUCAUUGGAGUGCCAGCUGCCUGCUUGGUGGAAAGAGAAUGUUAAAUAAGGUCGUUGCUCAGAGUUUUACAUUUUUAACUUUUGGUACCUAGGUGCUUUGUAAAAUACUCAGAUAAAUACCCAUUAAGCUCUCCUAAGGUCAUUUGAAAUAGUGAAAAAAGUACGUGUAGUUAUUUCUGCUUGUCAUUAUAUCAAUAGUUCUGCUCUAGGCUUUUUGAGAAAGCAACUUCCUCUUCAUCUCCCCACCCCCACCCCUACCCCCUGCAGUGUCUAAGCCUCCAGAGCUGAGGUAAGACUUUCAGAUCUGAACAAGUGUAUGUGCUUUACUGUAACUGCCUCACACCUCUUGCCUAGAGUUUGAAUCUUCACAGUGAGAAAAGAAUGUUUUCUACGUCCUUGUCCUCAGUUCCGCUGCAGUAUAGUAAAUGCUUACGUUUUUGUUUAAUUGCACUUCUUCCGUAGUUUAAAUUUUUAAAAGUUGUAUCUAAUGUCUUUUAAACAUUAUUUGACUAUAUGGUUACAUUAAAUUUUGUUUACCAAAAA
rnacentral:lncRNA from 1 species